AUUGAACGCUGGCGGCAGGCCUAACACAUGCAAGUCGAACGAGUGGCGGACGGGUGAGUCAUGUCUGGGAAACUGCCCGAUGGAGGGGGAUAACUACUGGAAACGGUAGCUAAUACCGCAUACCAUCGGAUGUGCCAAGAUGGGAUUAGCUAGUAGGUGGGGUACCGGCUCACCUAGGCGACGAUCCCUAGCUGGUCUGAGAGGAUGACCAGCCACGCGGGAACUGAGACACGGCCCAUACUCCUACGGGAGGCAGCAGUGGGGAAGAUUGCACAAUGGGCGGAAGCCUUAUGCAACCAUGCCGCGUGUAUGAAGAAGGCCUUCGGGUUGUAAAAUACUUUCAGCGAGGAGGCGUUACUCGCAGAAGGAGCACCGGCUAACUCCGUGCCAGCAGCCGCGGUAAUUC
rnacentral:rRNA from 1 species